UACGAAGGGGGCUAGCGUUGCUCGGAAUCACUGGGCGUAAAGCGCACGUAGGCGGAUCGUUAAGUCAGGGGUGAAAUCCUGGAGCUCAACUCCAGAACUGCCUUUGAUACUGGCGAUCUUGAGUCCGGGAGAGGUGAGUGGAACUGCGAGUGUAGAGGUGAAAUUCGUAGAUAUUCGCAAGAACACCAGUGGCGAAGGCGGCUCACUGGCCCGGUACUGACGCUGAGGUGCGAAAGCGUGGGUAUCAAACAGG
rnacentral:rRNA from 1 species